GACGAACGCUGGCGGCGUGCCUAAUACAUGCAAGUCGAGCGGAAUGAUGAAGAAGCUUGCUUCUUCUGAUUUUAGCGGCGGACGGGUGAGUAACACGUGGGCAACCUACCUUGUAGAUUGGGAUAACUCCGGGAAACCGGGGCUAAUACCGAAUAAACCAUUUUGCUUCAUGGCAAGAUGUUGAAAGGCGGCUUCGGCUGUCACUACUAGAUGGGCCCGCGGCGUAUUAGCUAGUUGGUAGGGUAAUGGCCUACCAAGGCGACGAUACGUAGCCGACCUGAGAGGGUGAUCGGCCACACUGGGACUGAGACACGGCCCAGACUCCUACGGGAGGCAG
rnacentral:rRNA from 1 species